rnacentral:rRNA from 1 species
CCCUUAGAUGUUCUGGGCCGCACACGCGCUACACUGAAGGAGGCAGCGUGUACUCCUGGAUCGAAAGAUUUGGGUAACCCGCGAAUCUCCUUCGUGCUAGGGAUUGAGGUAUGCAAUUAUCCUUCAUGAACGAGGAAUUCCCAGUAAGUGCAAGUCAUAAGCUUGCGCUGACUACGUCCCUGCCCUUUGUACACACCGCCCGUCGCUACUACCGAUUGAAUGAUUUAGUGAGGACUUCGGACUGGGACCGAUGCGGCUUUCGGGCUGCGUCGGUAUUCUGGAAAGAUGUCCAAACUGUAUCAUUUAGAGGAAGUAAAAGUCGUAACA